UAUGGACAAGAGAGAAGGAGAGAAAGAAAAGGGCAAGGCAGCUCGGAUGGAAGAGAAGGAGAGAAAGAGAAAGGGUGAGGGCAACUCAGGGGCGGAGAUGGACGAGAAGGGGUAGCUCGGGGGUGGAGACGGGGACGGAGAAGGAGGAGCAGGAGAGAAGAGAAAGGUAGCUUGGGGUUGAGGGAGAGGCUGCAGGGAGAGAAUGACCUCGAGCACUGUUUCGUGGUAAACAUCAUCGACCUUUUAUGCCCAUUGUUCUCUGUCUAACGUUUGCGUCAACUUCACCUAAACUGAACAUGUCUGUUCCGUCCCGCGGUGUUCCAAUGCAUUUAAACGAACUGUAGGAUUCAUUUGGUCCACAAACAUUGCACGGUAUUCAUCUUCCAUGCUGAAUCUACCAACUACCUGCCAGUUUUGAGUUACUCCUCCCGUAUCCUUCAUCAGCUUUAUGUUGACCUCCAUUAGAGUGGCAGCGUUCUUUGCUUCGAAGCAUUCUGGUAACUUUUCAUAGGUCCAAUGGAUAUUUUUGUUGGCAUAUAAACAAAGCCUUGGAUGAAUGUGCAACUUCAAUUCCUAAAAAAUAGUGUAGUCUACCCAAGUCCUUGAUCUCAAAACUCUUGUUCAACAUUUUCUUUGUGAGUUGCAAGAAUUUCUCAUCGUCCCCUGCCAUUAAAAUGACAACCAUGCAUGCUGUGAUAGACCCAACUAUAGUAAAGCUUUGCAUCCAGUCUAUAUGUAAAUUAGAGAAGAACAAUCUUAAGCUCAUAGGUGUUGGCCGGGUCUGGUGCCCCAUCGUGCCUUUGCAGUAUUCUGCGUAGCAUCUGUGCGUGCCAAAACUCAUACUCUAACAGGAAAGCCUCAUUCAUGCUCGUCAUGUAAUGUGUGAUGUUGUAGCCCUGUGGUUGACUGAUGGUCCCUAUACGUUGUAUGUGGCGGUCCAAACCAAGUCGAGGGGGAUGCUCCUGUAUGUAGAGUUUUGUGCAUAAUGAGAUCUGAAAUGAAUUUUUUUGGUUUGGAUAACGAGUUUUGGAUCUGAAUUUUGGGUGUUGGAUCUGAAUGUGAUUAUUGAGAACCCAAUGGAGAUCCAGAGCCAAAACAGAUAGUGAGAAUUAAGCGGAUCUGAAAAUGCUAUUUUGGAUCGAAAUGGAUCCAAAAGUGAUGUGUUGGAUCCGAAUGGUUAUGAAAGUGACAUUUUGGAUAUGAAUGGAACGGAAAGUAAGAGUUUGGAUCUAAAUGAAUUGGAAGGUGAUGAUUUGGAUCCGAAUGGAUCUGAAAGUGAUUAUUUGAUCUAGAUGGGUCGGAAAGUAAAAGUUUGGAUCUAGAUGGAUCUGAAAGUAAUGGUUUGGAUCUGAUGGAUACAAACGUAAAUGUUUGGAUCCGGAUCGAUUUGAAAGAGAUAGUUUGACUCCUGACGGAUCAGGAAGUAAAAGUUUGGAUCUAGAUGAAUCUAAAAGUAAAAGUUCGGAAUAAUCCAAAAGAGAUAGUUUGAUUCUUGAUGGAUCUGAAACUAAUAAUUUGGACCCGAAAGUGGUAAUGUGGAUAUAGAUGGAUCAGAAAGUGAUGGUUUGGAUCAUGGUGAAUCCGAAAGUAAUAAUUUGGUUCUGAAAUGGAUUAGAAUGUGAUAGUUUGGAUCUAGAUGGAUCCGAAGGUGAUGGUUUGGAUCCUGAAUGGAUUGAAAGUUGGAUUUUAGAUCCCAAAAAAAUCCAGAAGACACAUGGGGAUUAAUAGUUUAGGUCUGAAAUGGAUCUAAAUCUGGGAUUCAGGCCUUAGUUUAGAUUUGAAGUGAAUCUAGGGUUUGGAAUUUGAUCCAAGAUGGGUCUGGGGUUGAGAUUUGGAUCUAGUUUGAAUCUGAAAGCUGAUCUUUUUGGAUGUAUGAUUCUAAAUCCUGGGGCUGUGGCGGAUGAAUGAAAGUCUGGAUUUAACCUCUGACUUGGGUAGAUACAAAAUGACAACAUACAGAUGAAACUGAAAUUACAUACAUAUUUUUGUUAUGGAGUGGCAAAUAUUUGUAGUGAAAUUUUGGGGUGUUGACAGAUGAUAUGGACUGAUGAGUUUUUGAGACAUCAGUAAAUAUUAAAUGAUCACUUGGAGCUGAUGUUUGGGGAAAAUGUCUCAUUAGAUCGCCUGCUAUCACUACAACAAAACUGGGCAAUACCCACGAUCAUUGCCCAUGGAUAUGACAUGACCACGGGUCUAAGCAGCUCAACAUUUUAUAUUAACAACCCGCGACGCGUGUCCAUCAUUCCCUCGCGAUUUUAUUUGGCGCGAAAGUUUUCGGUGGUCGAGAAAGGGAGAGACUAGUCCAUGCUCAAGUUUGCUCCAGAGGUUUCUUCCAGCUCAUUUCUUUUGUCACCGGUGCUGAAGCUAAAGACUUUUUGCUUUUCCUUUUCUGUGAUUUGCUCUGGGUCUCGGCCGUUGAUCGGAUUCUUUUCCGUAUUGGUCGGUGAGGCGCUGAUGUGAAGAACUAUGUGUUGAUUCACUUAGUGAUCAGAGGGAGAAUCAUCAUCCGAUUCUUCCUCCGCUUAUCCUCCCUUGCUCGUAAGGGUUUGUCGGAAAUAACUUGAAGGGUCCUAUACCAGACUCUUUAGGAACAUUAAAAAGCUUGACUUCAUUGUGAGGGCUGCAAAGACUUUGCCAUCUUGAUGAGCUCAUUUGUUAUAAUUCCAUGAGUGAACUCAUUAAGCACUUCUGAUCUUAGGGACUAGUCCAACAACCACUUGUCUGGACCUGUUCCAAGCAGUUUACUGGACAAGCAAAAGAAUGGACAGCUCAUGUUGAGGUAGGCAUUGAUUUCACUAACAUAGUUGGAGUCAGGUACUACAUCAGCAUUUGAGACCGACCUUUUUAACAUGUGGGCGCAGGACUGACAAUUCAGGAUCCCCAGGAAAAAGCCAUAAGUUACUCAUCAUAGUACUAGUGGUAGCAUCAGCUGUUAUUCUGGCAUUGGUAAUUGCCUUGUACAUGUAUCUGAGAAGAAGAAAUGCAGAUCCGUGCAGGAUUCUCUUUCUCCUACUGCAGCUAUUUGAUGGAAACUGAUGUAACUUCCAAUAUUAUUGAAGCUUCAUGGAAAUGCAGGGUGGUGGUAGGUCAUCGGCUAGGAAAACCAUUGGAAGGGUCACAGCUGGGGCUGUUACCAUGAAGCUUCUUAAUGACGUCCUUCAUGGUUGCAUCAGUGAUCGCGAGGCAAGGUUUGGUACGAUCUCCUGUUUCAGCAACAUUACCACAGAUUGGGUCAAGAUUGUAUGUUACAUGGGGCAUCCUGUGGAGCUUUCCGGAGGCAUGAUAUGAUUGAUUUGUAUUUCUACUUUGUAUGGCAUGUUAUUAAUUCAUGAAAUGGGGAAAUAUGCUGAUCCAAAAUAUGCUGGGAAGAUGAUUGAUGCUAUUGACUAUGUGAAGGUUAGAGGGGAUCUAACAUAGCUAUUUUUUACACACUUGGUUCUUUUUAAAAAAAGGCAUAUAGUUAGAGUGAGGCUAUAUCUAGUUCCAUUCUGUCUCACGUAUUUCCUGACUUUUUUCUUCAUUGGCUGCUGUUUCUCAUUUGAUGUUUAAGACCCUCCUAAUUUUGAUCAUUAGCAAGUAUGGUCCACAGGUCAAGUUAUACCAAAUUUUCUCUUGAGAAGUAUCUGUUUGCCCCUUGUGUAAAGGUCAGACAGUGAUACAAAACGUGGUACUACGGUGAAAUAAGCUAUAUUAAACUUGAAGCUGCUGUUUCCAUGUCUCUGCUCUAUUUAUUCUUGAGCACUUAAUGAAGAGAGAGAAAAAUAGACUGCAACUGUUAAGCUUAAGAGAAAUCAAAAUCCAGCUUCACGUUCAUAGAUGUUUUCUGUUUAUUGUGCAGCAAAGGCACAUCAGGGUGUUCAUAUUUGAGUGCAAAGAGCCAAGCUGCGAAGCACUGAGGGUGGGGAUCACUGCAUCUAUGCUUCUGCUAUUAGCUCAUGUAAUCGCUACGGUGCACGGAGGCUGCAUUUGUGUUACAUAAUUGAUAGCACAAAGGGUGGAGUGGAAAGGAUAUUUUCAAUUGUUGUACUGAUUCCAAGUGGCUGAUACUCUUCUUAAGGAUUUUGUUUUAAAUAUAGUAGUUUGCACCAGCUAUUUUUCGUUUCUUGAGGACAAGUAUGUGUGUGUGUGUGUGUGUAACAAAAAAUGAAUUAAUGAAUAGCCGUGGUUUUUUCCAUGGCUAAUACAUAAA